rnacentral:rRNA from 1 species
AGCGAACGCUGGCGGCAGGCUUAACACAUGCAAGUCGAGCGCCGUAGCAAUACGGAGCGGCAGACGGGUGAGUAACACGUGGGAACGUACCUUUUGGUUCGGAACAACACAGGGAAACUUGUGCUAAUACCGGAUAAGCCCUUACGGGGAAAGAUUUAUCGCCGAAAGAUCGGCCCGCGUCUGAUUAGCUAGUUGGUGAGGUAACGGCUCACCAAGGCGACGAUCAGUAGCUGGUCUGAGAGGAUGAUCAGCCACACUGGGACUGAGACACGGCCCAGACUCCUACGGGAGGCAGCAGUGGGGAAUAUUGGACAAUGGGCGCAAGCCUGAUCCAGCCAUGCCGCGUGAGUGAUGAAGGCCCUAGGGUUGUAAAGCUCUUUUGUGCGGGAAGAUAAUGACUGUACCGCAAGAAUAAGCCCCGGCUAACUUCGUGCCAGCAGCCGCGGUAAUACGAAGGGGGCUAGCGUUGCUCGGAAUCACUGGGCGUAAAGCGCACGUAGGCGGACUCUUAAGUCGGUGGUGAAAUCCUGGAGCUCAACUCCAGAACUGCCUUCGAUACUGGGAGUCUCGAGUUCGGGAGAGGUGAGUGGAACUGCGAGUGUAGAGGUGAAAUUCGUAGAUAUUCGCAAGAACACCAGCGGCGAAGGCGGCUCACUGGCCCGAUACUGACGCUGAGGUGCGAAAGCGUGGGGAGCAAACAGG